rnacentral:rRNA from 2 species
AGGUGAACCUGCGGAAGGAUCAUUGUCGA